AUGGCCAAGGGAGCAGCCGGAGGAGGGGGAGGGGGCGCCGUGAAGACGGCCCUGGUCGUCACCGGCGGCCUCGUCCUCGCCUGGCUCACCGUCGAGUCCGCCUUGAAGCCCUUCCUCGACCGCCUCCGCGGCGCCGUCUCCCGCUCCACCGACCCCGCCCGCGACCCCGACGAGGACACCACCGCCCCCGAGGAGGACAAGUCGCCCGCCACCGCUGCCGCCACCGCCGCCGUCGCCGCCGCUGUCGCCUCCUCCGUCGCCGAGGAGAAGGACCCCUCUGUCGCCGUCGCCGCGCCCGAGCCGUCCGCGCCCCCGCUCCCUGCCGAGGCGGUGGAGAGCGAGGAGAAGGGAGCGGACGGGGAGGUCGAACUGGGCGAGAAGGGGGAGGCGGCCGUGGCCGCCAAGGCCGAGUGA
rnacentral:rRNA from 1 species